rnacentral:lncRNA from 1 species
AGCAGGUCAGGGUUGUUCCCCGUCAGAAGGAUGGCUUGACCUCAAGUCUUUGCAUUCAUCUGUUAGCCAGGGGGUAGGAGAGAAGGCUGGUGAAGCCCAGGCUUGUCCCUUCCCACAACGAGUUGAAGAGACACAUCACCUCUGCUUAGGUGGAGUCCCUCGUUCAAGUCUUUGUCACAGGACCUGAGUUGACAGGACGGCCCCGGAAAACCACUUGAUUGAGACCUGGAGAAGGAAUUGUGACCAAGGGAGUCUACGUGUCAUCACGUCUGAGCUGAAGAGAGAUGCUGCUGACGACUGGCCACUGACAAUCAUGGCAGGGAUUUGAUGAAACCUCCUCAUGGACGGACCCCUCUGUAUGUGGUGGAACGAAGGAGGGGUUUUGAAGCUAGACCAGGUUAAGCUCUCAGCAAGACUGUAUAGUGGCUGUGUGACCAUGAACAAGGUGUUCCAUACCCAGCUUCUCCAUGGCUUCAUGUGUGAAGCAGAGAGGCCCAACGGACUCCUGUACCUGAGACAAAACUAAGCUUCAACCACAGCAUGUACCAUGGGCGGGCCCUGGAGCACCUGCUUCACAUUUGGUGGAAGACACAGGACCAGAGUUUGUAAAGCACAGAGGCCCAGGAGAUGGGUUUGGAGCCCAGGCCUCAUGGCUGACUGGGCCUGCUCCCCUCUGCAGGCCUACAUCCCUCCAGGAUAGGAGCAGGAUGCUCAGUCCUGGCUGUGUUACAGGUGUGGUCAUGUAAUCUUUGGCAGUCAGGUGUGAACAGAAGAGACCCGUGUCUUCUAGAAGAGGCCUUUAAGAAAUAGGUGGGCUUUCUCUUGACUCUUUUUCUCUGUAUUUUGGGCUCAGGGGUCUUUGAGACCAUGUCAGGCUCACAAGAUGUGAGGAAUCUGGGGCCCAGAUCACCAUGUGGGAGAAAGCCAAUGGCUUCCCUGGGAAGCCACAGUAACGUGGACAGACAAGCUAACUGCCAGUGGAUGGCUGACCACUGAAAUGUUGGGGUCAAUUCUUAAACCAACUAG